ACAACAUUCAGACCGUCGGUUCACCGAGCAAUUACACACGCUCGGUGGAAGAUCUUUCCCUUCGUUAU
rnacentral:pre_miRNA from 1 species